GACGUAGGGCGCAAGCGUUGUCCGGAUUUAUUGGGCGUAAAGAGCUCGUAGGCGGCUUGCCACGUCUGCCGUGAAAACCAGCAGCUUAACUGUUGGCUUGCGGUUGAUACGGGUUGGCUGGAGUUCGGUAGGGGAGACUGGAAUUCCUGGUGUAGCGGUGAAAUACGUAGAGAUGUGGAGGAACACCAGUGGCGAAGGCGACUCUUUGGCCUGUAACUGACGCUGAGGCGCGAAAGCGUGGGGAGCAAACAGG
rnacentral:rRNA from 1 species